rnacentral:misc_RNA from 1 species
GUGAAUCAUCAAAUUUUUGAACGCAAAUUGCACUCUCCGCGGAUAGGGUGCCUGUUUGUGGGUCAGCCUAUAUAAAUCGACAACGUUGCUGUUUCGCGGUGGCGUUCGGCGGAAAUUGGGUCAUCUUAAAUCCUUUUUUUUUAAGCGACUUAAAAUUUUCUUUUUGUUCUAUGAACGUUUCUAAGAUCUAUUUCUUGACACGUUGAAGUUAC